rnacentral:rRNA from 1 species
GGAUGAACGUUGGCGGCGUGCCUAAUACAUGCAAGUCGAACGAAGACUGUAGUAAUACUGUCUUAGUGGCGAACGGGUGAGUAACGCGUGGGUGACCUGCCCCGAAGUGUGGGAUAACAGUUCGAAAGGAUUGCUAAUACUGCAUAAUAUCCAAGAGAUUAGACGCUUUUGGAUUAAAGGAGUAAUUCGCUUCGGGAGGAGCCUGCGUCCCAUCAGCUAGUUGGUAGGGUAACGGCCUACCAAGGCAAUGACGGGUAGGGGACCUGAGAGGGUGGCCCCCCACAAUGGAACUGAAACACGGUCCAUACACCUACGGGUGGCAGCAGUAGGGAAUAUUAGAAAUGGGCGGAAGCCUGAUCUAGCAACACCGCGUGUGCGAUGAAGGCCUUCGGGUCGUAAAGCACUUUUUGGAGGGAAUAGGAAGGAAGGUACCUCCAGAAUAAGUCUCGGCUAACUACGUGCCAGCAGCCGCGGUAACACGUAGGAGGCAAACGUUAUCCGGAUUCACUGGGCGUAAAGCGCGUGCAGGUGGUUUCGUAAGUAGGGCGUGAAAGCUCCCGGCUCAACUGGGAGAGGCCGUACUAAACUGCGGAGCUAGAGGAUGGUAGAGGGAGGUGGAAUUCCAGGUGUAGUGGUGAAAUGCGCAGAUAUCUGGAGGAACACCAGUGGCGAAGGCGGCCUCCUGGACCAUACCUGACACUCAGACGCGAAAGCUAGGGUAGCAAACGGAAUUAGAGACUCCGGUAGUCCUAGCCCUAAACGAUGCAGACUAGGCGUCGGCGGUUUAAUCACCGUCGGUGUCCAAGCUAACGCGAUAAGUCUGCCGCCUGAGGACUACGGCCGCAAGGCUAAAACUCAAAGGAAUUGACGGGUCCCCGCACAAGCAGCGGAGCGUGUGGUUUAAUUCGAUGCUCCGCGAAAAACCUUACCUGGGUUUGACAUAACAGUGGUAGAGAAGUGAAAACGGACCGACCCCUCGGGGAGCUGUUACAGGUGUUGCAUGGCUGUCGUCAGCUCGUGUCGUGAGAUGUUCGGUUAAGUCCGCUAACGAGCGCAACCCGCGCUGUGUGUUACAAGUGUCACACAGUACCGCCGGUAUUAAGUCGGAGGAAGGUGCGGAUGACGUCAAGUCAGCAUGACCUUUAUAUCCAGGGCUACACACACGCUACAAUGGCCGGCACAACGGGUAGCCAACCUGCGAGGGGGAGCCAAUCCAAGAAAGCCGGUCUCAGUUCGGAUUGCAGGCUGCAACCCGCCUGCAUGAAGUCGGAGUUGCUAGUAAACGCGCAUCAGCCAUGGCGCGUUGAAUACGUUCCCGGGCCU